UACGGAGGGUCCAAGCGUUAUCCGGAAUCAUUGGGUUUAAAGGGUCCGUAGGCGGCUCAGUAAGUCAGUGGUGAAAUCUCCCGGCUCAACCGGGAAAUUGCCAUUGAUACUGCUGGGCUUGAAUUACUAGGAAGUAACUAGAAUAUGUAGUGUAGCGGUGAAAUGCUUAGAUAUUACAUGGAAUACCGAUUGCGAAGGCAGGUUACUGCCAAUAUAUUGACGCUGAUGGACGAAAGCGUGGGGAGCGAACAGG
rnacentral:rRNA from 1 species